CUUGAUUCAUAGUGCAUUGUAGAUUAUGGUUGAUUGUCGUGUGUCUUAUGACUUCCUAACCUCUUGCACUGUGCCAUGCAUCUGAACGAAGAAUAAUUUUGAUUAAUUGACUACUUUGGAGCAAACGAUAUUUAAUAGGAAGAAGAGCUUUCGAGGAAGAACUGCGAGGGGGCAAAACAAGAGACCGAUGCACGCACGACAAGGAAUCAACAAAUCUAGUUAGAGUUUUCAUGUUAUGGAAGAGAAAGAGAGAGAGAUAGAGAUAGAGAAAGAGAGGUAAACUUACAAUUAGCAUUUUAUGUAUGCACAUAUAUGAAAUGCACGCCUAUGCAUGCAAUAAUAACUGCGCUGUACACGAAUUCUCGCGAAUUUACAGUCAAAUUGCAUGUCUGUGCUUGUAUAAUCGGAUCGCUUGCAUUUGCAAUCGGAUCGACCGCAAGCAUUCUCACGAACUAAUACAUCGCUUCUAAGCACAGGAUGUCAUCUUGAAACGCAGCCGUUCUCUCUCGGUGUCAGAGAUAUCGCAGUGACAACUGAUUAAAUCUAGUAAAAUAUUCGAUAAUGAACUCCUCAAGAAAAUUUAGAACAAACUUGUGUACACGUGUGCAUAUUACUUUGCAUUUCGUGAAAUAAAAUUUCAUCAUUUCUCUCCUGU